ACCAUCUCUGCCUGUUCAGCCUCAUCAAGAAGAAAUUUUAAGCCAUUAAAAUACAAUAAAAGAGAAAUUAAAGGUUUGCUCCUAUUUAACAUGGGUUCAGGGAAGCUACGUUUGAGUCAUAAAACAUAAAGCAGUUUCAAGGCUUUUUGGUGACCUGAAGACAAAGGAUGACCAGGAAGAGCCUCUUACCUGCUGAAGAUACCAAGGAGGCUAUUUAGAAGAUUGGUGGUUGGUGUGGAGUCGAGUUGCUGGUGUCAACACACUAUUGGCAAUCAAC